UGUAUGAUACUUUAUAUGUAUUUGUGUAUUUCUAAUUCUUAAAGUUAGAAAUAAGUUGUGCUUGGUUUAUUGCUAAUCAGGUUGUGUAUUGAAUCCACAGUUAGUGUAUUCUGAUCAUGAUUAUUUUGUAUGAUAAAGUAUUAUAAAGCAGUUUCUUUAAUUGAUAAAUAGCUAAUUUAUCCUAGGCUAUUAUCAUCUUAACUUGAACAAUAACUAAAUAAAACUAAACACUAAAUAAACUGUAGUAAUUCUAUACCUCAUAUCACAUUAAGGUAAUUGUGUCAAUUGUGUACAAGAAUGUAUGCGUAUGUGUGAAAGUGCAUUAUUUAAGUAAUUUGAUCAAUCCUUAUUUUAAAUACCUAUUUUACUUAUGUGUUGUGUAUAAUUAUAGUGUAAAUAGUAUCUGCAUUAGUUUAUACUUUGUCAAUGCAGAUGUAACUGGCACUAUCUUAGAAGCUUUGGUGACACGGCACAGGUUUCACCAGUCUGGCCGUAUUUAUUCACCAUUCUCUUCUAAGAGAAUAAACAGCCAUCAGCUCACA
rnacentral:lncRNA from 1 species